UCUUUAUCAUCUGAACAGAAAAAAGGAAUGAUUCAAAAGCAAUGUACUCGCUAAAAAACGAGCUACAUUUUAUAACAAGACAGAUUAUUCCAAUGAUUUAUGACUUUCAUGUAACUUCCAGGAAGGAGAACUAGAUAUUAUAACCAACCUUAGAUUACUACAACUCCCAAAAAUAUACAUAUAAAUAUAUACACAUCAUCUUCUCGUACCAAUAGCCUCAGGUUAUCCCCAACAAAUUCAAUCAUUCGCAAUAGUACCUUUCUGCACCUUUCGUUUCCACUCUUCUUUUGCGGCAAAGGACUAUUUUUGCAUUGGUUCUCUCGAGGUCCGGGUUGGACCGAACUACCUUUAGUGAAGAGGGUUCAAUUGAAUAACUUAUAGUGUAAAAAGGGCGAAGAAAAUCUUUUGUGUGUGUAUGUAUAUGUAUAUUGAAUAUCUCUGACGUAAGAGAAGCUUUUACUGUAACGGUAAAAGGCGGUUCAAAAUUUACUUUCGGUCGCAGGUUCAGAUUUCAUUCUCACAUAAGGAAAGCUUCUACUGUGGCAAUAAAAGGUUUUUCAUGAUUUACUUUAGGUCGCAGGUUCAAAUUUCAAGUGUGUCAUUCUUGCAUUAUUAUUUCAAGUUCCCUACUUCCCUAGUUGGAAUUCCUAUAACUCCGUCUUGAGGUGUGAUAUUUUUGCAUUAUCUUAACUUCCCUCAUCAGAAAAUUUCAACUCCGCCCAAAUCUCAUAAGGCGUGACAUUCCUGCGUUAUUUUAACUUCCGUGAUCAGAAUUUUCAACUCCGCUCGAAUUUUAGGUGUGAUAUUCUCGCGUUAUUUCAACUUCCCUUGUCAUAAUUUUCAACUCCACUCAGAUCUCAUCAAGUGUGUCAUUCUUGUAUUAUUUAAACUUCCCUUAUCAAAAUUUCCAACUCUGCUCAAAUCUCAUCAAGUGUGACAUUCUUGCAAUAUUUUAACUUCCCAUGUCAGAAUUUCCAACUCCACUGAAAUAGCAGCUAUGAUCUCGUGCAUGGCGGCAGUUGAUCAUGAGGACCCUUUUGGCUUUGAAGAUUAUUUUCCAUCAAUGAUUGAUUCAUUGGGGGUUGAAAGGUUCAUAGAGGAACUAUGCAAUGGUUUCUUCUUGCUAAUGGAUGUAAGUGUAGGGCUAAUCACCUUUGAAAGCUUGAG